rnacentral:lncRNA from 1 species
GGAAAGCUUCUCAAUCAAACGAAAUUCAGAGACAAUAUUGGGUCUAUAUCUCAGCUGGUCCAAAUGCAAAACUUUCAACCAAAAGUUAAUGUCUCAGCCCAACAACAAAUGAAGGCCCAAAAUUCAAUUCCAGACAGCCUUAUUUGAGAGAUGAUUUGGACAAAUAAAUGAGGACAAAUGGAUGAAAAUUAGGCAAGAAAUAUGCAGAUUCCUAUGUAACGGAUUUGUGCAUUUCUCGUACGAAAU